UAGGGAAUCUUCCGCAAUGGACGCAAGUCUGACGGAGCAACGCCGCGUGAGUGAAGAAGGAUUUCGGUUCGUAAAACUCUGUUGUUAGAGAAGAACAGCGCAUAGAGUAACUGUUAUGCGUGUGACGGUAUCUAACCAGAAAGCCCCGGCUAACUACGUGCCAGCAGCCGCGGUAAUACGUAGGGGGCUAGCGUUGUCCGGAAUCACUGGGCGUAAAGGGUUCGCAGGCGGAAUAACAAGUCAGAUGUGAAAGGCAUGGGCUCAACCCAUGUAAGCAUUUGAAACUGUAAUUCUUGAGAAGUGGAGAGGUAAGUGGAAUUCCUAGUGUAGCGGUGAAAUGCGUAGAUAUUAGGAGGAAUACCUGUGGCGAAGGCGACUUACUGGACACAAAUCUGACGCUGAGGAACGAAAGCGUGGGUAGCAAACAGG
rnacentral:rRNA from 1 species